UUGCGGGGGGGAGAAAAUUGCAAAAGUAGCGGGAAGGAUGCAUAAGGCAGGAGAGCGGGGUUUGGGGAACGUGCAGGGAAGCGGUUCCCCGUGGCUGAAAUACCUCGGUUUGGCACCGCCCUCCUGCAGGCUGCGGAAGGGACAACGGCUCCAGUCUUUGUUUUAGGUGUAAAACAGCAGAGCACCCCCUGCUUGGCGUCGGGUGUUAGUCCACCUCCAUCUGCCCGACUGGACCCGUUACUGAGAGGUGCAUAGAAAGCCAAAUGCUUACGUUUAGACACCCACAUCCCAGGCAGAGCUCAGAGCCAGCAGCUCCUGAAGGGGAACACGAAGCCCAGCAGCACACCCUGCCCUGUGCCGUGCCCUGCUGACUGCAUGAGCAAGGACCUCUCCUGAAGGAACCACAAUCUGCCCCCUCCGUUUUUAUUAUUUCUUUUUUUUUUUUUCCAAAGGUUUUUAAUGAAUGUGGGAGAGACAGGUUUGGAACAGCAUUGGGGUGAUGGCAGAGGAAGUUCUCUGAAGUAAUCUGGGGGCAGUGCCAAGAGUCAUUCCAGUUCUCAGAAAAAUAACCAGUUACUGCUUAUGUGCUGGGAGCUGAAAGAUUGAUCAUUUUUGCUGCCAACAUUUACAGUCAGUCCUGACCAUGACAGUAGAUCAAAUGCAUGUACUUUUCUGGACAGCUGACCUGGUUUGAACUCAGUGAGUGUUACUCUCAACGAUGACUACAUUUUUGGAAUAAAUACUUUCCUAUAAUUUUUUAAAGCAACCAUAACCUCACCAAGCACUAAGUGGCCUUUCAGGACUGUUUCAAACACCUGGUGCCCUUGAUGCCUCAGGGAAUUGUUCAGACCCCACAGGUGUGACUAGCUGGUGAAAUGAGAUGAAACAGCUGGACUGAGACAAGCCACAAAGAAGUCGCUGGCCUGUUCUGCAGUUGGACAUUGAUCUGAACGAGAGUAACUUCCAGCUGGUGCCAGUGGGAGAAACAAUUUGAUCCUUUCUCUGUGCUCGGCUCCUAUUCCUUUCUCACUUUUGGCUUGCGUGCAGCAGGAAGGCAGUUAGAAAUAGCUGUUCUUACAUGCUUAGGCUGUUUGAUUUUGGAACUUGGCGCUGGUUUUACUGGAGAUAGAAGAGCACCCACAAGCAGAGAAUGAAACAUCCCAUCCCCAGGCAGAGCUGUAAUGGGAGAAAGGAGUGAAAGGAAGCCUGACCUGCUGGAAAACUGGGACAAGUCCUGGAGACAACAAUCAGCCUUCCAAACAAAGGCAUUAGAAGUCAUGCUAUGCCUUUUUAUGAAAGAAUCAUCGUAACAGCACACAUUUUAAAAGAACAGCAAGCAGUGCAGGAGUGCUUGUUACUAGCCUGUAUGCAGUUUAUCCUGAAGGACUGGAUACAUUAAGGCUUGCAGGGAUUAACACGAGCGCUUACGGCUGAAGCCCCCUCAAUGAAUUCCGUUCACAUUGACGCAGACUCUGAAAACUCCAGUCCAACACACGCCGCAGUCACAAUGGCAGGCUUUUCAUUCAGAUGGCUAUAUGAAGUACCGGUCUGGACAGAAUCAACUCCUCUACUGUCUGGUUUAUCUCCGUCUUCUAUGCUUACACCUAAUUAUUUGGAAAUUUAGACCAACUCCAAGACAUUCAGACUGUCAGAGAAAAAUUGCAUUCUUCAAAAUCUGGGAAGGGAUGGCUUCAGUUUUCAAAAAGAAACAAAGUUCAUCACAGCUAUGGAAGCACUGGCAAGUGAAGCAGUGACCAGCUAAGAGGAAUGGAAAGACUACAGCAAAUAACUGAGCCGUACUGAGUCUGUCUGCUUCAGCAAUGGAUGCUGUUCUUCUAAGGGGCUGGCAUGUACCACCUACAAUUUGAGACACACAACUACUUUCUGCUGAGCUCCACAGAGGUGAAGUCCUUCUAAUGAUGUUGCUACAUACUUCACUAUUACUGCCUGAGUUUGCACAUCAUGCAGGUGGAUUCCAGAUGCAACCCUUCAGUCCAAGCUGCUCUUUAAAAGCACAAGCAGCAUCAGGUGUGGCCAAUGCAUCCUACGUGACUGUCAUCUGCCCCUGGGAACACAGGCGACCUGAAAGCAGUGUCUCUGUUGGGCAGCUCGUCCUGCUGCCAGCUGGUAGCACAGCACCAGGAGCUGAGCAGUGCUGGCUAACAGACAGACAGACAGACAGACUGACUGCUGCUCACGGGCACAGCACAGACAACGCGUCCCUCCUGCACGUGGCUCACAGCAGUUCCCUUUCCUUGAAAUUAGUCAGGGGAUUUCUUAGAAGUUCCAAUCCAUAUCUGCAGAGAUCAAACCUACUGCUUCUGCAGGACUUUCCUGCUGCUGUAAGAAACGCUGUGACUCAUCACCAAGAAAAGGUGGGCCCUGCAGAUGACAAAUGAUGCUUUCAUAGUCUUCAGUAGCAAAGGUACCAGCAGUGAGCCCGUGGUGAGGGAAGGGCUCUUGGAGAGAAAAGUGAAAAGGUAUUAAGUUUGCUGAAUAUAAAUGAACACAGAGGCCCCCACAAAGGGUAGCAUCUUAAAAAUGCAUACGUGGGAAUUAUUUAAAUAAACUGAUAUCAAAUAAGUCAUGGGAGAACUGCUAUAAUGAAAAGGGAGGUCUUUGUUUUGAAAUAAGACUUCCUUGAGAUAGAGGUUUAAUCUCUUAUAACCCAGAACUGCCUUCACUCCUCCAUUGUUUUUCUGAAACCCAGUUGUUGAAUAUUAAUUCCUCCGUAAUAGCAGACUAAGUAUGACCAGAUUUCAACAAUGAAAGACCUAAAGGAAUAAUUAACGAACAAUGGACUCUUCUAUUACAAGGAAACGAUUAUCCACACCAGAACUGAAUUAGCAGAAUUUUCUGACAAACCAGAGCUGUUUGCUACAGCAGGGAGCACAGAGGGAUGGAGGCCAUCAGCUUUCCCAGUUCUACAGUUACUGAAGUUGGCACUGCUGUGACAUAGGAUCUAACCCACAGAGCUGAGGGGCAUCCACCACAGAGAACAGGUGGGCUACAGCAUGCUGCAGCAGCACUUCAUCUCAUCCCUUUUGACUGCAGGCAUAAAGGAAGACAUAACAGAAACGGGAUCUGCAGCUGCAAGUAUUUUAUCCAAAUAAAUGCUCGAUGGAACCCUUUGUCCUAACGUGGCACAAAGCCACCAACACAGCCAAGGGCAGGCUGCAGAACAGAAUGGAAUCCUUAUGGAGAAGGCAAGGGGCAGGUUUCUUACAUGCCAGGUUUUUCUCCCUCUAAUUAAUUCAAAUGUUUACAGGUUCUACCUGAGAAAUAAUCCAGCCACCACAAUCACUGAACAAAAGUCAAAAGACCACACUGGGGAGGAAAGGUACAGAAACCCUGAAAUGGCCAUACCUACACGGCUGGGAAAGCUGCAGAAUCUUUUGGGAACAGCCCCUCAGCAGCUGUAACUUCAACACUGACUCAGUCAAUGUUCAGUGCUGAGACUUCUUCCAUUAAGGACUGCACCACACCACUACCUGUCAUAAUGAAGAUGUAUUUCUUAAUACAUAUAUAAAAAAAAAAAGGCAGCAUUCAAGUUAUGGCUUCUGGACUGGCAGGAGGAAGGGUGAGAAGUGGGCUUCAGUACACCAAGAAAAAAGUUGCUCGUGCUUUCACUUUCACAAAACCUGUUUUUCACAUUAUUUCUCCUGAAAUAAAACACCUCAGAGACACUGUACCCAUUCUAUUUCUGAAGGAGCAGCAAUUACACUUCUAUAUGGAUAAGCAUCUAAACUGCGUAUCUAAAAUGCAUCCUCAUGUUUGCUCUAGGAAACAGAUCUACCUCCUUUGAGCACCUUCAAUGCAAAUUAAUUAGCUGUAGCCACAACUUAAGGCCAAAAACACAUCCCUAGAUCAGCAAAACAGUUUCAGUUUCUUGUUGAGUGAAAAAUGGAAAGCAUUUGCACACUUCCACUUUCCUAAGUCAUACCCUUCCUCACCUCCAACAAUCCCUACAUGUCAGAGGACUCAAAAAGUGGUUCAGAUAAGAAGCCAGAAGUAUAUCAUUAUAAAUUAAAUGACAACUGGCAGUCUAGAUUGCCUAUUAUUAUUAACUUUGUAUCACUAUGAAUCUCACUGUCAACAAUGGUUCUGAACCUCAGACAUAUAUAUACACACAAUAUCAACUUACAAAAAUAUAAAUGUAAUAAUUUUAUAUAUACAUAUAUAUACUAUUUAUGUUUAGCUAUACGUAAAAUACUUGAAAAUACGUGCAGAAUACACAGAACUGUAUUUUCAUCAAAAAACCUUCUCUCUACCUCCAAAGUGGGUCUCAAACAACAGCACUGCAGGAAUGACACACCAGUUAUUAUUUCUCUCUUUCACUAUCUGGGCCCUUUUCAGCAGCAGUUACUCAGAACCUCAAUAGGAAAUGUUGGUAUUUAUCCCUUGGUGGGCUGCUUCACUGCCAGCAAAGCCACCUUUAGGACACGUACCAGGACUGGACAGAAAACUGAAAACAUGAGGACCUCACCAGGUAGAAAAGGGGUAUUGCUUCUGACCGGUCCUACUAAAAGUCCCUCUCAACAAGAGCAGCUGUGUGAGCUGAGGCUCCGUGAGGAGGACCUGCUGCCAUACCACCUGUGUUUACAGGCUUGUGCUUUCUCUUGGCUUUAGUUUGAACUGAUGGACACCAGCUCCAGUCCGGAGUGACGAACUGAGUACCCAUUAAUGAACAGAAACAUAUGGAGCACCUCUGUAACGUACUUCUGCUUAAAUUCAUCCAAAAAAGAAUCCGGUUUAUUUCAUCAGGGUCUGCUGUGGAGAAGGUAACACCACAGUAUUAAUGGAGGAAGCUUUAAGCAGUUCUCCUGCAUUUGGUGGCAACAGUGGUGCUUAACAGAAACACAUAAUGAGCAGAAACGUAAAACUAAUCUUUGCAUAGCAGUGAACUGAAAGAUUUUUCAAAUUAUAUUUUGCAAUUUUUGCAUCUGAUGCAGCUGAGAGCCUGCAAAGAAGCCUGCAGCAGUACAAGAGAGAAGAAAGGGGAGCAGCUUUGGAGGAGAGCUGACAGAAGUGUUUGGUGGAAGCAGGAAAGAGGGAAGUUGCUCCGGUUGGAAUUCAGGAUAUAAACAAAUUUCAAGAGAGAGUGAUUUUAUUUUAAAGAAAUUUCA